UACGAAGGGGGCUAGCGUUGCUCGGAAUUACUGGGCGUAAAGGGCGCGUAGGCGGAUAUCUAAGUUGGGGGUGAAAUCCCGGGGCUCAACCUCGGAAUUGCCUUCAAAACUUGGAUAUCUUGAGUUCGGGAGAGGUGAGUGGAACUCCGAGUGUAGAGGUGAAAUUCGUAGAUAUUCGCAAGAACACCAGUGGCGAAGGGCGGCUCACUGGCCCGAUACCUGACGCUGAGGC
rnacentral:rRNA from 1 species